ACGGAAGAUGGCGGCGGCGGGAGGUACGAUAGCUGCAGUCCCCGAAGAGGGAGCAGAAGGGGAGGCUACUCCACCGGCAGCUCCGGAAGCGAUGGCCGGGGAAAUCCCUGGGUCAACCGAGCAGGGGACCGGAGAUUCAGAGACCGGGGGGGAUACUUCCCUGGCUGAUGUCACUGCCACCCUGGAAACAGAGUCAUCCAGUGGAAAGGAUGCAUUGGUAUGUGAACCAAAUCUGCCCUCUGGGGAGAUAGCGAUGGCAUUUGGACUACCUCUUGCAGCUGUGCUGAUGUUGUUUCAGGAGGGUGUUGGGGACAGUUCGGAAGUCCUGGAUAAUCAGACUGGCUCAGUCGAUGAAGAGAAUGGACGACAGCUGGGGGAAAUUGAGCUGCAGUGUGGCAUCUGCACCAAGUGGUUCACAGCAGAGACUUUUGGUAUUGAUACCACGUCUUGUCUGCCCUUUAUGACCAACUACAGUUUCCAUUGCAACAUUUGCCACCACAGUGGGAAUACAUACUUCUUAAGAAAACAAGCAAAUCUGAAGGAAAUGUGUCUUAGUGCUCUGGCGAACUUAACUUGGCAAUCAAGGUCCCAAGAUGAACACCCCAAAACAAUGUUUUCCAAAGACAAGGAUAUUAUACCCUUUAUUGAUAAGUACUGGGAGUAUAUGACAACAAGGCAAAGGCCGGGCAAGAUGACUUGGCCAAAUAAUAUUGUUAAAACAAUGUGUAAAGAAAGAGAUGUCUUCUUGGUGAAAGAGCAUCCAGACCCAGGAAGCAAAGACCCAGAAGAAGAUUACCCCAAAUUUGGACUCUUAGACCAGGACCUUAGUAAUAUUGGCCCUGCAUAUGAUAAUCAGAAACAGAGCAAUAUGGUAUCUACCACUGGAAGCUUAAAUGGUGGAGCCUCUUUGGGAGUCAAACGACACACAGAUUUGUGGUGUUUCCCUUCCCAAGGGGGUAUCGUAGCAGGAACUAGUGGGAAAGGAAGAGGAGCAAAGCGCAAGCAGCAAGAUGGAGGGACUACAGGAACAGCCAAGAAAACCAGGAGUGAUCCUUUGUUCUCUGCUCAGCGUCUCCCACCACACGGCUACCCAUUGGAACACCCCUUUAAUAAGGAUGGAUACCGUUACAUUUUGGCUGAGCCUGACCCCCAUGCGCCUGACCCUGAGAAACUGGAGCUGGACUGCUGGGCGGGCAAGCCUAUUCCGGGAGAUCUCUACCGGGCCUGCCUGUAUGAGCGGGUCCUCCUGGCUUUGCACGACCGAGCCCCUCAACUAAAGAUCUCGGACGACAGGCUGACAGUUAUAGGAGAGAAAGGCUACUCCAUGGUUCGAGCCUCACAUGGUGUGCGGAAGGGAGCCUGGUACUUUGAGAUCUCAGUGGAUGAGAUGCCUGCAGAAACAGCUGCCAGGCUUGGGUGGUCUCAGCCACUAGGGAACCUUCAGGCUCCCCUGGGCUAUGACAAAUUUAGUUAUUCUUGGCGAAGCAAGAAAGGCACGAAAUUCCAUCAGUCCAUCGGUAAACAUUAUUCAUCAAGCUAUGGCCAAGGAGACGUGCUUGGUUUUUAUAUAAGCCUUCCAGAAGAUACUGAAACUGCCAAAUCUCUGCCAGACACUUACAAAGACAAGGCUUUGAUCAAGUUCAAAAGCUACUUGUACUUUGAAGAGAAAGACUUUGUGGAUAAAGCUGAAAAGAGUUUAAAGCAAGCGCCUGGAAGCCAAAUAAUCUUCUAUAAAAAUGGUGCCAGCCAAGGUGUUGCAUACAAAGAUGUUUUUGAAGGUGUUUACUUCCCUGCUGUGUCACUGUAUAAAGGCUGCACGGUUUCUAUAAACUUUGGGCCCUACUUCAAAUACCCUCCAAGAGAUAUCAGUUACCGACCGAUGAGUGAUAUGGGCUGGGUUGCUGUGGUCGAGCAUACCCUUGCAGAUGUCCUCUAUCAUGUGGAAACAGAAGUGGAUGGGAGACGCAGUCCACCAUGGGAACCAUGAAAGACAUUGUGAUUCUGGUCUGGAGCAUAUUCCAAGGAUUCAAAUAUUGUGGGUCCACUGAUGCAACCCCACUUGUGGUUCCAGCCCAACCUCCAACUCUUCCAACUCAAAAAGAAAGAAACAACAGACAAAAAUGCAACAAACCUACCAUCACAGUUUCUGUUUUCCAGUCCCCUUGUUCUCCAAGAAUAUUAAGCGAUUUCUGAAGCGCCUCCUCUCCUUGUUUGAUGUAGAACAUUUCUGAUUCAUUGAAGAGGUUCUCCUCCAGUCGGGAGCCUGUAAGGUUGGAUUAGGACAGCUUAUUUUAAAAAGAGAUAGUCAAGAUUUGUAAGGACUUGCUCAAAUCAGAAAUUCUGUAGCCCAAAACA